rnacentral:misc_RNA from 1 species
GAUGAAGAACGUAGUGAAAUGCGAUACUUGGUGUGAAUUGCAGAAUCCCGUGAACCAUCGAGUCUUUGAACGCAAGUUGCGCCCGAAGCCUCGGCUAAGGGCACGUCUGCCUGGGCGUCACGCAUCGCGUCUCCCCCAAACCGCCAAGGCGGAGGGGAAGGAAGAUGGCUUCCCGUGCCUCACCCGGGCGCGGUUGGCCUAAAUUUGGAGCCCGCGGCACCUAGCUCUCGCGGCGAUAGGUGGUGAACAAGGCCUUGGCCGUGCAAACAACCCGCUGCGAAGCUCUAUGUCACGUGCGCUCGUCGGACCCUUUGAAGUUGCCUUUGGUGACUUAAAACCUUUGCGACCUCAGGUCAGGCGGGGCUACCCGCUGAGUUUAAGCAUAUCAAUAAGCGGAGGA